rnacentral:lncRNA from 1 species
GUAACUAUAACUUGUUUCUAAUGCUCAUUAGUAAAAUGGGGAAAAUAUCAUAUCUAAAUAUUAUCAAGUGAUAUCAAGAAAAAACCCUCUGAAAACGUCACAUGUAAAAUAGAAGCUUCGUUAAAGGAAAGAUAAUGAUCUAGACAUUAAAGAGAGUCAGAAGUGUAAGAUGUCAUGUCAACCCCUCAGGUCAAAAGAAACUGAUGAAGAAUUGAUUGGUAGAGGAGAUACCAGGAAUGUAGAAUGUGAAACAACUGACAAAAUGAGAACAGAAUCUUAACUCUUUCAGUCUACGAGGGACCAAACAGGAAUUCUACUCACUGCUGCUGAUCCUGCCUCAUUUCCCGUCUUCAUCUUUCCCUGCUUCCACAUGGUGGGAUCUGUCAGUUCCCCAGCUAUCCAUCUCAAAACCAUACCUGACCAGUUUGAAGGCAGCAUGAGCUCUAUAAUUUGCUACAAUUCAUAAACAGAAGAGAGAAGGGGAGGGAAAGCCAGUGUAUAAUAUGCAAGGCAUUAAGAUCAAUUUCUCUGUAUCCAGUGUGACCUUUGCCUCAGAGCUGAGCUCGUUUUGGAGCUGUCCUUGGUGCUUACCUCAGACCUGGAACUCAAUUUUCAGGACUGAUCCAGCCUGCAGUUUCCUCAUAAUGAGGAGUCUAUUUUUCAUGAACCAGGUGCCUCUCUGCCCACCUUGGAACCCUGCCACUAUCCCUACAUGGACUUGCAGGAAAAUAUGCCAAUUCCACCCUCCCUUGCUCUCCUCUGCUAUGUUUUUCUCUCUCACUCUCUCCAUAAUUCUUCCUCAGUACAGUUUUCUUGGCAUAUCUCCCUACUUAGACAUACAUCCAAACAGUAAUUUCUAUGAUGAGUGUAAGUGGUUGGUAUGGCAAGAAAAAACACAGAGCUGGAUGUUAGAAAUCCUGGAUUUUAGAUUUUAGUUAUGGCUCUAAUAUUAACGAGCCCUGUGACUUGACUAAGUCAUGUAAAAUCUCAGAAAUCUGCUUUCCCAUUUAUAAAGUUGAGAUAAUCACAUAAUCUCUAUAUUACCACAGAGGGUAGUUGUAAGGCUCACAUAAGAUGAUAAUAUGUGAAAACUCUGGAAAAUAAAUGCAAUUAUCCAUAUUUGCA